CGAAGUUUAACACGUGGUUUACAAUAUAUGUAUAUUCAUUUGUUUUAAUUUUUAGCUGUCAGUGAACUUGGAAAGAGUACUUACAAUAUCUGAAUCCUUCAAGAGUGCUGAAGCCUUUAAAGAAAAUGGAAAUAAGACAAAGGAGAUUAAUGAAGCAAUUGUGUACAUGAUCUGUAAGGACAACGUGCGAGUCCGCUGUGUAGAAAAAGAGGGCCUCAAGAGACUUCUCAAAAAGUGUGUGCCGCAUUUUAAAAUGCCUUGCAGAUCCACGGGAAGUAUAUGAAAAUGUAAUAUAUUUUGAUACCCUUCAUAAGUAUAUAUUCUUUUUUAGAUAACAACAAUGGUUGAAGAGAAGUACUACCAGUGCGUUGGAGCUGUGUUGAAAAUGCUAAGCAAUGCAAAUGACGUUGCGUUUACCUGCGAUGCCGUAACCAUACCGAACUCGAGUCGUUCGUUCCUUACCAUCACUGCGCAUUUUAUUGAAAAGGAUUCACUAAAUUCAAUCUGCCUUGCAUCGUCAAGAAUGAAUCAAGUAUGUUGAUAUAUAAUUUUUUCUAUUUUAAAUUUGUUUUGUUGUGAAUUGUGUGUCGCUUUUGUCUGGUCCUCUGUCAAUAAGUUAUUUGUUAUUUAUUCUUUAAAUUUAAGUAAUAUUUUCCGAUUUCAAUUUAGUCGCAUACCAGUGAUUAUGUAAACACUUUGUUGGAAGAGGCGUGCGCCGAAUUUAAUAUAGAUAAAAUGAAGUGGACAACUCACGACAGACAGCGCAAGCAAUAUGAAGUGCGCUGCCAAACUGUUUCUUGGAUUAAACAAACAUGUGUCGUGUUUCGCCCACAGCAUAAACCUUAUAGUAUGUUCAUUUUCUAGUAUCAAAAAUGUUGACACCAGAUGGAACUCUUGCCUGGACAUGAUGGAGUCCUUUUUAGGCUUAGCCAACAAGGUGGCUUUUAUUUUGCUACACAAAUCAGAACGUGUCAAAGGACUCCCCGAAAUGCUCAAUGUGUCAGAGCUAACGAUAUGUCGAGACUUAUGUAGUCUCCUUCAACCUUUUAAAAAAAGCAACAGAGCAAAUAAGUGGCGAAAAUUACGUAACUGUAAGUUUAGUAAUACCACAUAUUUCAAUGUUAGCAGCUAAAAUUAAAACAUUGGAAAUGGAGACGAAGGAAGACAAACGAGCCAAGGAGGCGCUCAUCAGAAUUUCUGAAAGGAGGUUUCAGGCGUUGCAGACUAAUGCAAUUUUGGUUAAAUCAACUUUUUUAGACCCUAGGUUUAAAAAAAUGUAUUUGGCGCCUUUAGCGGUAAAGGAUGCCAUUGCUGAAAUUACACUUCAAAUCAAUAAGUUUACUCUUAAGGAAAGGAUUUCCGAUGUCACAAAACCGGAAGACUUUUUUUGACGAUUUCAUGAGCGCACACAAUCACUCAAUCACAAAAGAAUUGAGCGGUGUGUCGGAGCAAAAUAAGGAGCUGAAACUAUACUUUAGAUUGCCCCAAGCUGCGCGGGAAUGUAACCCGCUGGAGGUGUGGAAAUCCCAUAGGGCGACCAUGCCGGGUCUUUACAAGAUGGCCAUGCGACAUCUUAUCACUCCAGGUAGCUCGGUGCCUUCAGAGCGGUUGGCAUCCGCAAUAAAAUGUGUAGCUUGCGAUGCUAGGAGCCGAAUGACGGACAUACACGUAAAGCAAAGAGUGUUUUUAAAAUCUUUAAAUUCUGCCAAUUGGGCUUGAUGUUACAUUUAGAUACAUAUAAGACAUAAGA